rnacentral:lncRNA from 1 species
GGGAGGGCUCCGGGUCCCCCCCCUUUCCCUGAGGGGCAUUUUUGGGGGGCUUCAGAUCCCCCCCCCUCCUUGGGGGGCAUUUUUGGGUAACUGCAGCCCCCCCCUAUAGAUGGCACUGCCCCAUUCGGAGCCCCCCCCGCACCCCCACCCCCCCCGGCGCCGCUUUUCCCUUUGGGUUUUCCAGUUGUGCCUUAACCGGGGAGCAGCGCUCAGUGGGACACCAAUGGGACCCCCCGUGUGACACCGAGGGGACACCAAUGGGACCCCAAUGGGACACCGGGACCCCCAGUGUGACACCAAUGGGACCCCAGUGAGACCCCCUGUGUGACACCAAGGGGACACCAAUGGGACACCAACGGGACCCCAGUGAGACCCCCAGUGUGACACCAAUGGGACCCCAAUGGGACCCCCCGUGUGACUCCAAUGGGACACCAACGGGACACCAAUGGGACACCGGGACCCCCAGUGUGACACCAAUGGGACCCCAGUGAGACCCCCAGUGUGACACCGAGGGGACACCGAGGGGACACCGGGACCCCCAGUGUGACUCCAAUGGGACACCAAUGGGACACCAAUGGGACUCCAAUGGGACACCAAUGGGACCCCCAGUGUGACACCAACGGGACCCCAAUGGGACCCCCCGUGUGACACCAACGGGACACCAAUGGGACACCAAUGGGACCCCCAGUGUGACACCGAGGGGACACCAGUGGGACCCCAGUGGGACACCGGGACCCCCAGUGUGACACCAACGGGACACCAAUGGGACACCAAUGGGACCCAAAGUGUGACACCAAUGGGACACCAAUGGGACCCCCCGUGUGACACCAACGGGACACCAAUGGGACACCAAUGGGACACCAAGGGGACACCAAUGGGACCCCCCGUGUGACACCAACGGGACACCAAUGGGACACCGGGACCCAAAGUGUGACACCGAGAGGACCCCCAGUGUGACACAAAGGGGACUCCAAUGGGACACCGGGACCCCCACUGUGACACCGAGGGGACACCGAGGGGACACCGGGACCCCCAGUGUGACUCCAAUGGGACCCCAGUGAGACCCCCAGUGUGACUCCAAUGGGACACCAACGGGACACCGGGACCGCCAGUGUGAUACCAGUGGGACCCCAGUGAGACCCCCAGUGUGACACCGAGGGGACACCGAGGGGACCCCAAUGGGACCCCAGUGUGACUCCAAGGGGACACCAAUGGUUCCCCCAGUGUGACACCGAGGAGACACCAAUGGAACACCAAGAAGACACCAAUGGGACCCCCAGUGUGACACCAGUGGGACACCAAUGGGACACCAAUGGGACACCAAUGGGACACUGGGACCCAAAGUGUGACACCGAGAGGACCCCCAGUGUGACACCAAUGGGACACCAAUGGGACACUGAGGGGACACCAAUGGGACCCACAGCGCCCCAAUGUGACACUGAGGGGACAGUGGGACCCCCAGCACUUUGAGGUGACCCGGAGGGGACCCCCACCACUCUGAUGUGACCCCGAGGGGACCCCCGAUGUGACACUGAGGGGACAGUGGGACCCCCAGCACUCUGAUGUGACCCCGAGUGGCCCCACACGGCUCCAUGGGACCCCACUGUGGGGCAGUGGUGGUUAUGCGGGGGGGUCGGGGGCUGCUGCCCCCCCCCACAGCCGCCCCCUGCAGAGCUGUCCCCCCCCCC